AUGCACGCUGGCGGCGUGCCUAAUACAUGCAAGUCGAGCGAACAGAUGAAGAGCUUGCUCCUCUGACGUUAGCGGCGGACGGGUGAGUAACACGUGGAUAACCUACCUAUAAGACUGGGAUAACUUCGGGAAACCGGAGCUAAUACCGGAUAAUAUAUUGAACCGCAUGGUUCAAUAGUGAAAGACGGUUUUGCUGUCACUUAUAGAUGGAUCCGCGCCGCAUUAGCUAGUUGGUAAGGUAACGGCUUACCAAGGCAACGAUGCGUAGCCGACCUGAGAGGGUGAUCGGCCACACUGGAACUGAGACACGGUCCAGACUCCUACGGGAGGCAGCAGUAGGGAAUCUGCCGCAAUGGGCGAAAGCCUGACGGAGCAACGCCGCGUGAGUGAUGAAGGUCUUCGGAUCGUAAAACUCUGUUAUUAGGGAAGAACAAAUGUGUAAGUAACUAUGCACGUCUUGACGGUACCUAAGCAGAAAGCCACGGCUAACUACGU
rnacentral:rRNA from 1 species